UCUUCUUGAAAUUAAUUUGAGGUUUUGCCUGCCCAAUGAUAUUUUAAUGGCCGCGGUAUUUUGACCGUGCAAAGGUAGCAUAGUCAUUAGUUACUUAAUUAGUAACUUGUAUGAAUGGUUUGACGAGACAUUAACUGUCUAUUAUUUAUUUUUUGAAAUUAAAUUUUGAGUUAAAAUGCUUAAAUUUUUUUAUCGGACGAGAAGACCCUAUAGAUCUUUACUUAAAUUUAUUUUCUUUAUGUUUGGGUUAUAUAUUUAUAUUUUUAUUUGAGUUUUGUUGGGGUGACUUGAAGAUAUAAAUAACUCUUUAUUUUUUUUUACUUUAAUUUAUGAAUUAUUGACCUUUUAUUAUUGUUAAAAGAUUUAGAUACCUUAGGGAUAACAGCGUAAUUUUUUUUGAGAGUUCAUAUUGACAAUGAAGAUUGCGACCUCGAUGUUGGAUUAAGAUAAGUUUUAGGUGCAGUAGCUUAUGAUUUUUGGUCUGUUCGACCAUUAAAUUCUUACAUGAUCUGA
rnacentral:rRNA from 1 species